rnacentral:rRNA from 1 species
CAGUCGCCGCGGUAAUACAGAGGGUGCGAGCGUUAAUCGGAUUUACUAGGCGUAAAGCGUGCGUAGGCGGCUAAUUGAGUCGGAUGUGAAAUCCCCGAGCUUAACUUGGGAAUUGCAUUCGAUACUGGUUAGCUAGAGUGUGGGAGAGGAUGGUAGAAUUCCAGGUGUAGCGGUGAAAUGCGUAGAGAUCUGGAGGAAUACCGAUGGCGAAGGCAGCCAUCUGGCCUAACACUGACGCUGAGGUACGAAAGCAUGGGGAGCAAACAGGAUUAGAUACCCGCGUAGUCCCUGUCUCUUAUAC